ACCUCCGCCUUCAGGUGCUUAAGUUUUUCAUUGAUCGGAGGAAAUUAACAAUUAGAAGCUGGGCCAGUUCCACAUGAUCCAUUAGACGUGCUCUCUAAGAGGAAAGUUUGUAGGGGUUGCAUGUAUAUAUAGAAAAGACCGGAGAUGCGAGAAGUGAAGCAACUUAUAUCAACCUCAUCCUACUAGGAUUAGAAAUCCUC
rnacentral:lncRNA from 1 species